GUUAAGUUAGUUUAAUAAAAAUAUCAGCCUGUGGAUUUGAAGAUGAAGAUAACUUCACUUAACC
rnacentral:tRNA from 1 species